GGACACGUGCCUGAAUUAAAGGAUCACCUUGAUGGGGUGAAUAAUAGAGGUUAAACUCCACUCGUCUCCU
rnacentral:tRNA from 2 species